rnacentral:tRNA from 1 species
ACUUAAUAUAGCUUAUAAAAAGCGUUACAUUGAAGCUGUAGAGAAGGUUUUUUACCUAUAAGUG